rnacentral:rRNA from 1 species
CAGUCGCCGCGGUAAUACAGAGGGUGCGAGCGUUAAUCGGAUUUACUGGGCGUAAAGCGUGCGUAGGCGGCUUCUUAAGUCGGAUGUGAAAUCCCUGAGCUUAACUUGGGAAUUGCAUUCGAUACUGGUUAGCUAGAGUGUGGGAGAGGAUGGUAGAAUUCCAGGUGUAGCGGUGAAAUGCGUAGAGAUCUGGAGGAAUACCGAUGGCGAAGGCAGCCAUCUGGCCUAACACUGACGCUGAGGUACGAAAGCAUGGGGAGCAAACAGGAUUAGAUACCCCCGUAGUCCUGUCUCUUAUACA